UUGUGGCUAUAUCACGUUGAAACUCCGGUUCGCGUACGAUCACCAAAGUUAAGCAACGUCGAGCCGGGUUAGUAUCUACAUGGGUGCCUGCUUGGCAAUACCAG